rnacentral:lncRNA from 1 species
GUGCGCCAACUCCUCAAAGCCCAAAUCUAUGAUUUUCUUAGGGAGCCUAACUCUUAAAAAUAUCAUCUGAAGAUGGAGAUCUGGACGUGCACCAAAGUCCAAAUCUAUGAUUUUCUAGGGGAGCCUAACUUUUAAAAGGUUCAUUCGAAGAUGGAGAUCAGAUGUGCACCGAAGCCCAAAUCUAUAAUUUUCUAGGAAAGCCUAACUCCUAAAAGGUUUGCCUGAAGA